UGUGACUUCCACCCUGGCUAGACAACAAGUCGUCAAGAUUCGAUACAACAAACAAAAACAGCAAAACAAAUUUUUUUUUACAAGACUUCUGUUGUACAGAUCUUCUACUACAUUAUUUAAAUUAAAGAAAUAGAGAAUAAUACAUGGGUGCGCGAAAUACCAGAUUUAUUUCGAGUGUUGAACAUGGUAUCUCACGAGUGAGCGCAGCGAACGAGUGAGAUAUCAUGUUCAACACAAGAAAUAAAUCUGGUAUUUCCAAGCAACCAUGUAUUUUUCUGUUUAUUAUAAAAAAACAAAAUUCAGUGAAAAACAAUAAAACGUCCGUGGCAAUGCGUUUUACAACAAAUGAUAUUUUCACACGUAAAAAUAUUGUAUUUUUUACGUGUGUUUAAAUACUAUUUUUCUCAGUGGCCAAAAACUCUAUAUAACACUUAUGUUUAUAUAAUAAAAGUUAAUAGUGUAUGCUUGCACUGAACCCCGAACUAUAUAUGUCUAGCCUCCUCCGCAAGCAUCUCUUAAUCGUCGAGAACUUAUAUAAUUUAGUUAUUCAAAUAACUGAUGUUCUUAUUGGGUUAUUGUGCAGGGAGAAAGAUGUCUAGUCUGAAUAUCCAUAUAACGUAAGUCAUAUAUCAGAAAGUGCGGCCUUUAUAGUAUUGUUGUAAUUAAAUUGACGGUAAUUAAAUAGUUUAAAUAAAUGAAAAUGUUAAAGGUUACUUGACCUCAUUUAUAGCAACAAAAAAGUUCAGUUUGAUCACAAAAUGUUUUGGAUAGAUAGAAAACGCUAAGAAUAAUAGGUGCAGUCUAAAGUAAUGCAAUUAGUUAUCUUGAUUAAUAUGAUAAAGUUCAACCUGUUUUGAGUCUUAUAUCUGAAAUUGUUGUGGUCCAUCGUUGUCAUUCAUUAUUCAAAGUUCCUGUGUCCCUGGCACGUCUUGGCGUCUUGUCAAAAAAUCAAUUUUCUUAUGAAGAAUGGCGACAAGCUCUUGAUAAAUGUCGAUGAUUUCUUUUUUUCGGUCAGGUAAGUUUGACCAUUGUGGAUUUACCUGUUAAAUUAAGCGAAAAGCAAUAAGCCCAUGAAUAUUUGCAUUGAUAAAAUAUCUGCAUUUGUUAUAUAGCUAUAGUGUGAACGCCAAAAGUGAUUGACUGAUUUGUGGCCACGUGACUUUAUGAAUGUUGUCAGAAUGUUAUUGAAUAUUGUUUUCGUCGCUAUAUACAGGGUGUAUAAAAAAAAACUGGACAGAUUUGAAAUUGCUCUCAAUUUCGAAAAACGGCUAUUAGUAUCCAGUUUUUGAUAUACUAUAGUGACUAUAGUGUGUUUUCACACCACGUCACGGCAUAAAUAAUUUUAUACGCCGCCAUGUUGGUGGAGUGAAGUUCCAACAUGGCGGCCAGCGAUUCAGAAGUAAACGUGAACAGCAAAGCAGAAAAAAGUAAUUAUUCAUGAGAUUCCUUUGUCUGAACAUGCAAAAUCUCUCGAAUACAGCAACAGUCAAAUGAUUCAGAUUGUGG